rnacentral:rRNA from 1 species
UCUGUAGGCGGUGCGGCAAGUCGGGAGUGAAAUCUCUGGGCUUAACUCAGAGGCUGCUUCCGAAACUGCCGUGCUGGAGUGCGGGAGAGGUGAGUGGAAUUGCAGGUGUAGCGGUGAAAUGCGUAGAUAUCUGCAGGAACACCAGAGGCGAAGGCGGCUCACUGGACCGCAACUGACGCUGAGAGACGAAAGCUAGGGGAGCAAACAGGAUUAGAUACCCUGGUAGUCCUAGCCCUAAACGAUCAGGACUUGGCGUGGGUCCCGUACGGGGCUCGUGUCGGAGCUAACGUGUUAAGUCCUGCGCCUGGGGAGUACGGUCGCAAGGCUGAA